GCCUUCGCGGUGUAAUGGUCAGCACAUUCGGCUCGUAUUCGAGAGGUCCAAGGUUCGAGUCUCGGUGAUGGCA
rnacentral:tRNA from 1 species